rnacentral:lncRNA from 1 species
UUACACAAACAAUGGUAAUGAAAUCUAAAAAUAUAUAUUUCUUUUAACACCACAGGUGGUUGGUAAAACAAGAUGGAGGAAACCUACCAGUGGGCCAAAGAAACAUCGUGAUUCAAGCAAUGGUCACAAUGAAGGCGUGUUUAACGGAAGAGGAUUUUAUCCAAACUUCCUCUACAAAGUGCAAAGAGCUGGAUUCCUACACAUGUCAACAUAUUUGAAGAAUCAUUGGACUUCUUGGGGGGAGUUGUGGUCCAAUUUUGGCAGAUCAUUCAAUCAUGAAAACAGUGAAACCAACAACAAGGCAGAAAGGUACAGGAUUUUAGGCCUAUUUAUUUGAAUAAUGAACAUGCAUUCUUCUUGUCACUAAAACUAGUGUAGUUGUUUACUCAAGUAGUUUCAAACCUGUAUGAAUUUCUGUCUUCUGCUUAACACAUUAGAUAUUUUGAAGAAUGUGGGUAAGCAAACAGUCGAUUAGCUCCAUUGACAGAUGAUAAGC